UACGUAGGGGGCAAGCGUUGUCCGGAUUCAUUGGGUCGUAAAGAGCGUGUAGGCGGCCAGGUAGGUCGGUUGUGAAAACCUGGAGGCUCAACCUUCAGAGGUCGACCGAAACCAUCUGGCUAGAGUCCGGGAGAGGAGAGUGGAAUUCCUGGUGUAGCGGUGAAAUGCGCAGAUAUCAGGAAGAACACCCGUGGCGAAAGCGGCUCUCUGGAACGGUACUGGACGCUGAGACGCGAAAGCGUGGGGAGCGAACAGG
rnacentral:rRNA from 1 species